rnacentral:rRNA from 1 species
UUCUGCGGCCAUACCCCCCUGAACAUACAUACCUGUUGUCAUUUAAACGCAGACACUAAGCAGAAAAGAGCCUGAUUAGUGGUUGGGUGGGAGACCAAGAGCAAGAGAAAAAGAAUUAGCCCCUGAGU